AUGCAGGUAGCGUCCAUGCCAGGGCUCUGCCGGGCAGGAGACACAGCUACCAGGAAGAGCUCGCUCCCCUGGAGGCUUCCACUGGGGGCUGUGAAUGCCAGGAUGGUGCAAGCCCUCUCUCCUGGGAAGAGAGCCUGUGUCCAAGAUGGAGUCCAAGAGACAGAGAGCACCCUCAGAUCCCAUGAGAUCCCUCAGUGUCUGCGGAUCUUUUCCAGCCCACAAAUACAGACGUUCCGGUUUCCCAUUCCUGAAACAUUGAUAUGGUCUGAUAGAUUUAGAGGCACCGGUGCUUGGCGGGUAGUGAGGAAGACUUUGGUGAAGCAGGAGGAGGCUGAAGCCACAGACCGUGUUCAGGAAGUGACGCUCCUGCUUCACCAAGUGUCCACCACAGCCCCGGCAGCCACGAGGGGCAGCUCAGCAAGGCCACCAAGGGCUCAGGGUGCCCCACACCCUGUGCCUCUGCUUUACCCAGAGCCUGAUCCUCUGAGUGGCCAUGGACACAUCCACCUCAGCUGGACCAGUGCUUGUCCCUGGACCAUGAGGACCACCAGGGAGGUCCAAGGCAGGAAUACGGGUAACGCCGGCCAGCAGUGCCUGGAGAACGACCCAGCAAUCGCUCCCCCGUCAGUGACGUCACGGGCUCCACUGGCAGCCAGCACACAAUUUAAUGUCCAGGAAAAUGAGUUUAUGCUGUUUGAAGGAGGAGCUGAGAUCAGCAUACCCAGCUUGAACUUGGCAUAG
rnacentral:lncRNA from 1 species